CCUGGCUCUCUGCCUCAUUACAGUGGUACCUCAGGUUAGGUACUUAAUUCGUUCCGGAGGUCGGUUCUUAACCUGAAACUGUUCUUAACCUGAAGCACCACUUUAGCUAAUGGGGCCUCCUGCUGCCACCACACGAUUUCUGUUCUCAUCCUGAAGCAAAGUUCUUAAGCUGAAGCACUAUUUCUGGGUUAGCAGAGUCUGUAACCUGAAGCAUAUGUAACCUGAAGCAUAUGUAACCCGAGGUACCACUGUAUAUGACUUUGUGAAUGGGUUUGUCAUAUUCAUACAUUAAUGCAUCCCAGGGGUGGAGAACCUGUGGCCUGCCAAGGAUUGUCUAGUCCAGGGGUAGGCAACCUAAGGCCCGUGGGCCGGAUGUGGCCCAAUCACCUUCUAAAUCUGGCCCGCGGACGGUCCGGGAAUCAGCGUGUUUUUACAAGAGUAGAAUGUGUCCUUUUAUUUAAAAUGCAUCUCUGGGUUAUUUGUGGGGCACAGGAAUUCGUUCAUUCCCCCCCCCCCCAAAAAAUGUAGUCCGGCCCACCACAUGGUCUGAAGGACAGUGGACCAGCCCACUGCUGAAAAAGGUUGCUGACCCUGGUCUAGUCCAACCUUCUGCAAUACCUUACCAUCAAUAGCUGCUGGGGUUUUUCCUCAGCACUUCCAUUAAUACCAUCUUCCCACCCCAAAAAAAUUCUGCUGCCCAGUUAAUUAGGAAGGACCUCUUUAGCCUAUCUGAUAUUGUUUUGAAAAUAAAUAAGAUGUACCAAUGUCCCACAGGCACAUAUCUGUGCACUGACGACCCCAUCAUCUGUGGGAUGAGUGCAGGAUGCAGCCCCUAUUUGCAUAAGAUAAUACAAAGAAUCUCUCGCACACCCCUGCACACCUUUUUGCUGCACUGAAUAUCUGAAUAUCUUAUCUUUGCUAAUAUAAAUCACCAUUAUCACGCUGUCUUUAAAAUGCCGUUUGUCACAUCCUUCACCGAUACCGCUUAUGAGAACCAAAAGCUGGGAGAGACAUAAUGUUUGCUCCAUUGCGAAGGAAAAGGAAAUUGUGAAAAAGGCGUAUUCCCUGCUAGGGAUUAUUAGGAAUUGCAAGUAAAACUGCGGCUUUCAUAAUGCUGUUAUACAAAUCUUUGGGGUGACUGCGUUGGGAACAGGGCAUAUACUUCUGGUCACUACACCCCCCAAAAUGGGUAUUGUGGAGUUGGGGAAAUGUCCAGCAAAGCACAGUGAAAAUGACCCCGGAGAUUAAGAUGACCCAGGAGAUACUACUACUACUACUACUACUACUAAUACAGGAGAUACUACUACUCCGAAGCCUGCCUGCCAAGCCGUCGCCAUCUUGGACUCCCGCUGAUAACAGGACUGUAGUUGGCGUUGACUGCCACCCAGGGAAGUAGUUUUUCCUUUUUUUACUUCUCUACUUUUUAACUUACCGAGAUUCUGGCAGCACCUUCUUGUCAAUGCUGUGGGAGACAUCCUGGGCAAGUUCUGUGAAGCAUCCUGGGCAGGCCGCCAGCUGCUAGCUAUUAACCGCCAACUCCCUUCUAUACCUUGUUCCUGAAACUCCUGGCAGCCUCCACACAGAGAAGCUCUUAAAUUGAACAAACUGAACAAACUGAGCACUUUCUAUUCUUUUCUCUCUUUUUUGGUUGGGGAAACCUCUCCUUGUUUACUCCCCACGGUGACGCUAUGCCUGCUAGUAAACGCCACAGGGACCCAGAGGAUGUAGCUCUCUCACCGGUUCCCAAACAAUCUAAAAUAGAGGACUUUUUAACAAAUCUGCUUUUACAGUUCCAACAAAAAACCGGUUUUCUCCUCUUGAAGAUGAUUGUGAGUGUGGGGAGAGUAUUCAAGGUGAGAGCGUGGAACUGGAUCCAGCAAUGGGGCAAGCUGAUCCUGUGCUCCUCAGAGAGGAAGGAAUAACAAGUAGGGAGAGCACCCAAUUAACUCUAAUUGCAAGAACGGUUGAGCAUAUCUUCCAGCAAAUUAGAGGUAUUGCCUCUCAAAUAACCCAGUUAUCCAAAGAGGUCCACAGUUUAUCAGUUAAUAACAAGCAGGCAUCAACAGACCACCAUCGUACCAAAGGAAAUUGGCGACAACAAGAGCAGACCCCUAAGCUCAACAUAGAACGUGCAGAGGCUCUUAAAACAAACUCUUCUUAUUUAAUUUUCCAACCAAAAAAGAUCUGCAUGACAAUUUGUGGAAGGCCAGAUCAAACUCCUAGCUGGAAAGGUGCCCAGCGUUCCAAACGACAUUUAUCAGACUUACUUGGCAUGGGACUUACAGAGAUCGACCUCGUUAAGACUGAACUCUUGAAUACCACAAAUCAAAGCCAAAAAUUAUGUUAACUUUUUCCUCUACUAGACUGCCCUCACUGAUUCACAAGCUGAAAUUCAGAUUGUCAAGCAGAGGAGUUUUUCCAACCCGGGUAUUUCGCAAUUCUAUUGUUGCACCCUUAUGUAAGAUGAGGACUGCUGCUUCAGAGGGGCUCACAAAACCAAAGCCUGGACCCCCAAUGGAAGUAAUAACAUCACAAAAAAACUUGGCAGGUGGGGAGGAAACAGACAUGCCUGAGUUGAAUCCGCAGGAUCAUGCCCAACAUCAAAAUAACCAGGUGAGUCAAAAGGAACAGCCGAUUCCUCUAGACAAUCAUCUUCAGGAAUCUGAGCACUCUGUAAAUCCUUUGGAAGAGGAUUUUCUCAGCUCCUUUAGGAAUCUCCCUCAGGAAGAGCAACAAACAGUUAUCAAGAGGCUUGAUCUUAUGAGCCAGACAUUGAAAGAGAUUAAAGAACCGGAGGCAGAGAUUGAUAAUAGAUCCAAUGGCCACAACAGAAUGAUAACUCUAGAACCACCGGAGUAUUGGACAAAGAUGAGAUAUUUAGAAGAGGAGGAGUCAGGAAAUACACCCAAGAAAUCCCCAUUGGCAAACAAUUUGCAAAGAAAAGGCCCAGUGAUUACAAAUGUGAGCACUUUAUGUACGACGACUGAAAUAAUCGAACAUCUGGAUUAUUCCACUAGCAUUAGCAAUAACCUGUUGCCUCAAAAACUGGUAAACUCCGAGAGCACAUCGGCCAACAAUUGACUAAGAGUAAAUCAUUGUAAAACAAUUAAACUUCUCUCAUGGAAUGUAACAGGGUGGACGAACAAGAUCCAAGACAGUGAUUUCUGUUCUUAUCUACAAACACAUGAUAUCAUCUUUCUUCAAGAAACCUGGGCAAAAGAGGGCACUAUGGUUGAAUUACAGGGUUUUACAAGUUACACUCAACCAGCUCUUAAAACUGUAAAGUAUGGAAGGCCUAGUGGGGGGCUGGCGGUGCUGGUGUCAACCUCUCUUAAUGUAUCAAUUCAACAGUGUCCCUCGUUGACCACCCCUAAUUUUUAGUGUUGUCCCUUUCUGAUAGUCUCCUGAGAAAUACUUAUUGCAUAUGCGUGUAUAUACCUCCAGUAAAGUCUUGUGGGGAACUGAGAUCAUAUUGGGAUAAACUUGACCAACUACUCGAAAGUAUAGACUCUCUGUCACCUAACCCUCGGUUUAUCUUGGGAGGUGACUUCAAUGCCCGGAUCGGCCUUGUUUCCCCACAAAAUACAAUAUUAUCUGGUCUAAACUUGGAGGACGAACCUGAAAUCUGUCAGAGGGCAGCAAUGGACACCAUCCCUAAUCGCGCUGGGAAACAUCUUUGUGAACUUAUAAUAAAGCAUAACCUUUUGUUAUGCAAUGGGCACGGUCAAGGGGAUCAAGAGGGUUAUUUUACUUUUAUCUCCCCCAGAGGAUUUACUAGCACCAUAGAUUAUAUCCUAACAUCUAAUAAUGUGCCAGUUAACCGAGAUACCUUCAGGAUAAUUCCCAGAGCUGAAAGUGACCACUUUCCACUUGAGUUAUCUCUGACAUUAUUCUUUUCUCCUGCCUUUCCUAAAUUAUUGGAUGAAACAGAAUAUCUGAUACUUGGAAAUAGAAGGUUAAAAUGGAAUGCACAGGUCCAAGAAAAAUGAUUCAGAUCCUGGAUUCCCAUGAAUUUGCUCUAUUAAAGGGGAAAUGUUGUUAGAAACAGGAAACGUAAUUGGACUUUAUGAGAACAUAAUCAACCGAAUGCGCCCACUGAUGACCACAGCUAGUGUGAUAAAAACAAAAAGUUUAAGAGACAGACUUGGUUUGAUAAGGAAUGUCAGAAUAGCAAAAAUGCCUAGCUAGGGUACUUAGAAAAUUGAAGUUAAAACAGGAUAAGCACAAUCUUGCCCUACAAGCUGAGGUAGCCCAGUUACGAAACAACUAUAAAUUAUUACUUAAAAGCAAGAAACAAAUAUAUUAUGAACAACAGUGGAAAGAAUUGGGAGAUGCAGCACUUCAGAAGGACUCACGGAAAUUUUGGCAUCUGGUUGCCCAAGGCACCAAUGGGCUGGGCUACUCAUUAGAAGCAUCUGUCCAAGGAAAGGAUUGGGUGACAUAUUUUACAGAAAUAUAUCGCCCCUGUCCUGACCUACCCCCACAAGUUUACUAUACUCAGUUAUCAGAACUGCCAGAAUGGCCAGACGUCACGCCCAAUCAGAUUAAGAGGCUAAUCGCAAGCCAACUAGCUAAUAAAGCUCCAGGAGAAGACAUGAUCCCAAUGGAGAUCUAUAAGAUAAGACCUGAUUUCUGGUCACCCAUUUUUGCAAAAUUGUUUUCAUACAUUAACAGCUCAGGUCAUAUACCUGAAGGGUGGAAGUUGAGUAUAAUUGCCCCAAUAUAUAAAAAGGGCGAUAAGAAAAACCCUGCUAAUUAUAGACCCAUUAGUUUGUUAGAUGUAGCCUCCAAACUAUAUGCCAGGCUCCUUCUUGGGAGACUAGAAGAAUGGGCAGAUACAAAUAAGGUGAUAUCUGAAGUCCAGGCAGGUUUCCAAAGAGGGAAAUCCACAUUGGACCAGUGCUUUGUGCUGAACUUUCUGCUAUGUAAAUACAUCCAUAAUUUGAAGCAAAAAUUAUAUGUUGCUUUUAUCGAUCUAAAGUCAGCUUUUGAUACGGUCCCAAGACACGCAUUGUGGCAAAAAUUGGAAAAGACAAAUAUAGACCUCCGUCUAUUAUUUCUCAUCAAAACAUUAUAUACUGACACAUCAAUACAAGUAAAGGUGGAUCUGGCUGGCCAUCUCACCACUAGAAUUAAGACCACUACUGGAGUCAAACAGGGAUGCAUUUUGGCACCUUUCCUGUUCAAUUUUUAUAUUAAUGACAUGGUUAAAGAACUGGAGGGCCUACAGUUUGCCCCUGUCACAAUUCUCGACCAAAAACUCUCAGUUUUAAUGUAUGCUGAUGACCUAGUACUUGUAUCUAGAACCCAGGUGGGCCUGAGACGGCUGCUUGCAAAAUUAAGUUCAUAUUGCAUGAGGAAUGCUUUAUCUAUAAACUAUGAUAAGACGCAGGUCAUUGUAUUUGGGAAGCGUUCUAAAAAGCAUGUUUGGCACCUGGAUGAACACAUCAUAAACCAAGUAAAUACGUUCAAAUAUCUGGGAUUGAUUUAUUCAGAAACGGCAUCUUGGAAUACACAGCUAUCCAAUAUUAAAUUGCAAGCCUUUAAAUCAGCAAAAGCCAUUCUGAAAUUCGCUGCAUGUAAAGGUGGAAAUCUGGUCAACCCAGCUCUAUCUGUGUAUAAAGCAAAAACAAUGGCCCAGAUUUUAUAUGGUGCAGAGGUUUGGGGUACCUCAAAGGUCUCCGGUCUGGAACCCCCACAGAAUUAUUUUUAAGAGUUCUUUUAGGUUUACCCAAAGACGUGCAAUCUGCCAUGGUCAGGUUGGAAACUCGCAUGUUGAGCAUAGAGAGCCAAAUAGAUAAAAGAAUUCUCUGUUACUGGUUUAGAGUUCAACAGAUGGACAACACUAGGCUACCAAAAAAAUGCCUGAUUGAGCUCUCAAAUGGAUUACCCUUUAAAAACUGGGUACAUCAUGCUGCCCAACUGAUGGGCAAAUAUGACCUCUCAGUGACUGAGAUUAAAGAACUCCCCUUAUAUUCACAGAAAAAUAUUUUUAAACGAACCAUAAGGGCAGUGGCAACUAAAAACGAUUUAAACUCUAUGUGCACAUCUACAUGCGCCCCAUUGUAUUUUAAACUUAGAGAGGUCAAUGAACACAUAUCUUAUUUUAAUGAAUUGACUUUUGCACAGCUUCGAAAAGCUUUUACAGAGCUACGACUAAAUACAAUAAGCUCUGCUUAUAGAGAUGGGAGACAUAGAGGCAUACCAAAAACGAACGUGUUUGCAUUAGGGGAUGUUCUGAAGUAGAGGACCUUAUGCAUUAUAUCUUGCACUGUCCGUUAUAUAAUGAUGCAAGAAAAAGAUUUUUGGUACCUAUAAUGACAGGGUCCCCUGGCCAGAACCCCCUUGAUAUGAUGUUAUAUCUCCUUGCAGACACAGAUAAGUAUGUGACCUGGCGGGUCGCACUUUUGCAACUGCUGCUAGGAAAAUUAGAGCAAAUUAUAUAGCCAAGGUAGCCAUUAACUGUAAAGGAGAUGAAUUUAUUUGAUCCUAUCUAUCUACCUCAGGCUAUGCUCUAUCUUUGUCACCAAACUCUGAGUAUAAAUUGCACACUGUAUUAAUUGAUAUUGUUUUUAACAUUAGUGACCAUGUGAUGAUUUUAGCUUAUGAAUUUUAUCGUUUAAUGUUUUUAUUUGUACAUUGGGGUACUUUUAUAGCUUUGUUUAGAGUAUGUAAUGUUUUAAUAAUAUAAAUGUUUUAAGUCUUUUUUUACCAAUUCAGUAUAUUUUCUUUUAAUUGUCAAAUAAUUCUGUGUACAUUGCGGCAGCCUUUGGCUAUGUGCAAUAAAACUGACUGAGACNNNNNNNNNNNNNNNNNNNNNNNNNNNNNNNNNNNNNNNNNNNNNNNNNNNNNNNNNNNNNNNNNNNNNNNNNNNNNNNNNNNNNNNNNNNNNNNNNNNNCGAAGCCUGCCUGCCAAGCCGUCGCCAUCUUGGACUCCUCCAAGUAAGUCAGCCUCUGGGGAUUGGCUUCUUGGGUCACUCUGGAGAAGGUCCAUGCCUAAAACUGUCAGGAGCUUGUCCUACACUUGAGUAGGACCCUGGCAGAGACACAUGCCCGACCGGCAUGUUCUCUCCCUCCUGGUCGUUCAUUCGGGAGCUUCAAAAGCUUGCUUCAGCCUGAACAUUACAGCGACCGAUGUCAACAGACAUUGGCACACUUAGGGAUCCUCAAAGUCUUCACAGCUUGUGUAACGGACCUCAGCAACUCAGCAUUUUGGCUAAUCUACUUUUGUUGUUGUUUAGUCAUUUAGUCGUGUCUGACUCUUCGUGACCCCAUGGACCAGAGCAUGCCAGGCACUCCUGUCUUCCACUGCCCCCGCAGUUUGGUCAAACUCAUGUUGGUAGCUUCGAGAACAUCCAACCAUCCCGUCCUCUGUUGUCCCCUCCUCCUUGUGCCCUCAAUCUUUCCCAGGAUCAGGGUCUUUUCCAGGGUGUCUUCUCUUCUCUACUUUAUUUACAUAUAAAUACACACGGAGCACUGCAACAUGGCUCCCUCGCUCUUUAGCAUCAGACAGCAAAGAGAAAGAACACAGGACAAUAGUCCCACUUCACGGAACACAGGAACACAAACAUCCUGUCUCUGUCACUUCCCACUCUGUGGAGUCAAAACAUACACCGUCAUGUGAUAGACAAAAAUCCCAUGACUGCAAUCACGGAGCAGGAAUUCUAACAAAAACACCAAAGAAUUGUUGUUUCUACAGUGGUACCUGUAGAAACUUAAUUCGUUCCGGAGGUCCGUUCUUAACCUGAAACUGUUCUUAACCUGAAGCACCACUUUAGCUAAUGGGGCCUCCUGCUGCUGCCGCGCCGCCAGAGCACGAUUUCUGUUCUCAUCCUGAAGCAAAGUUCUUAACCCGAGGUACUAUUUCUGGGUUAACGGAGUCUGUAACCUGAAGCGUAUGUAACCUGAAGCAUAUGUAACCCGAGGUACCACUAUAUAUGCUUGAAUGCUAAACAUUUAGGAAUACUGAAAACACAGGGCAUUUCCAUUCCAAGAGAAUGGUGUGCAUGUUCUGUUAUGAACAAUGGACCUUCAUGCAAAACACAACGUAAGUCAUUCAGAAAGAAGAUGUCGGAGCACUCCAAAUCAUUUGGACAAGUACGUGCAGGGAACAUAGUAGGCCUAGUGGACAGGCAACACAUGGAGAUCUGCAUUGGUUGUUGCAAUGCACCCCUAAUUAUCACUUUUGUAUAAUUAUAGAAUUCUUGCAUACCCUUAGAAGGGGCAGGGCUGUAACUUACACAAAGGGACCCUGAAUUUGCCACUACACUACUGGAUGGGGGUUGUAGUAGUAGAACAACUUCUAGGGGCACUACAUUGGUAACUGUGGCUCGAAAAUUACUUCUGCUGCUGCAGAAGACCAAACACACACACACACACACACACACACACACACACACAGUCAAGAGAGAAAGAACAGCAGGAAGAAUUGUUGAGAAAGGUCACCAUUGUUUGCUCCCAAGAGAUUAUGGCAAAGGCACCUUUGCUAAAAGUCAAAUCAUCUGCAUCAUUUAGGAAGAACAGGAAAAGGGCUAUUAGGCUGCAAAAUGAGCAUGAACAAUGCAGCCCUCACUGUGGGCAAAAUGGUUUUAAUAGGAUCUGCAGGGAACUUGAUCUGCCACCAAGUGUUUGAUCCUUUCCUAUAGACAAUCUCUCGUCUAUAUUCACGCACAUACAGAACCCUGGAUUGUAUUCGAGUGGCAUUUUGAGUUCAAAUGUCACAUCUGAUUGGCUAACAUAACUCUGGACGCAAGCCAAGGAGAGAGAGAGAGAGAGAGAGAGCGCCAGAGCUAAUGUCUAACUGGAUGUGACAGAACAUUAAAUCGCUGAGCAGCAGCUAAGGAAUUCCUUUCUGUUGCUUUCAAUAGGACUUUCUCGGGACUCAACCAGCCCCACUGAAAUCAAUGGAAGUCUGUAUCUGAGAAGUUGUGCCCACAGAUUUGCAACGUUUGUCUCGCUUUUGCUCGAUUGAUGGUCUGGGUCAUUUUAAAAGGCUUUCCCUGGAAGCAUGUGGCUGUGUUUGUAUCUCGCUUAUAUCCUCUGUACAUGCAUAGCCCUUGUAAGCUUAUGCAAAGGUGUGGUUGCCAUCCACUGUAAUCCACAGGACGGAAGUAGCUCUGUGGCAGGCUAAUAUGUGGUCAACAGAGGUGUAGUGGCCAGGAUCACAGGGAAGGGCUGGCGCUGUGGGUAAACCACAGAGCCUAGGACUCGCCGAUCAGAAGGUCGGCGGUUCAAAUCCCCGCAACGGGGUGAGCUCCCGUUGCUCGGUCCCUGCUCCUGCCAACCUAGCAGUUCGAAAGCACGUUCAAGUGCAAGUAGAUAAA
rnacentral:lncRNA from 1 species